UACGUAGGGUGCAGGCGUUAAUCGGAAUUACUGGGCGUAAAGCGUGCGCAGGCGGUUUGCUAAGACAGAUGUGAAAUCCCCGGGCUUAACCUGGGAACUGCGUUUGUAACUGGCAAGCUAGAGUGUGGCAGAGGGGGGUGGAAUUCCAAGUGUAGCAGUGAAAUGCGUAGAUAUUUGGAGGAACACCGAUGGCGAAGGCAGCCCCCUGGGCUAACACUGACGCUCAUGCACGAAAGCGUGGGGAGCAAACAGG
rnacentral:rRNA from 1 species